rnacentral:rRNA from 1 species
AGCGAACGCUGGCGGCGUACUUAACACAUGCAAGUCGAACGGGGGAUCGUCGGUGUAGCAAUACAUCGGCGGUUCUAGUGGCGCACGGGUGAGUAACACGUGGGUAACCUGCCCUUGAGUUCGGGAUACCCUUUCGAAAGGAAGGCUAAUACCGGAUACGUUCCUCGGAUUGCGAAGUCUGGGGAGGAAAGGUGGCGCAAGCUGCCGCUCUUGGAGGGGCUCGCGGCCUAUCAGCUAGNGGUGAGGUAACGGCUCACCAAGGCUAUGACGGGUAGCUGGUCUGAGAGGACGACCAGCCACACGGGAACUGAGACACGGUCCCGACUCCUACGGGAGGCAGCAGUGGGGAAUUUUCCGCAAUGGGCGAAAGCCUGACGGAGUGACGCCGCGU